UGCUUUUGUUUGAUUGUCAAGUUACUAGUACAGCGAGGCAAGUGACGCCAUUUAUUGUUGUGCAAAAAAAGUAAAUUUAUUUGGAAUUGUGUCGUUGUGACAUCUAUAUGUGAAAAGAGAACAGUAUUAUUUUAAUAAUAUUGAAGUUUUGAUUAUGUUUAUUUUGGUGAACCUGCAUAUUUGACAUCGCUAUGUCGGGCGGUCGGUUGGUCGUCCUUGACCGCCUGGGGCGGGAUGUCAAGACUUACCCCCUUGAAGAGGGAUUAGCUACAAUAGGAAGUGAUCCUGUCUGUGACAUCCGGGUUAUGCUGCCAACCGUCAGUCCUCAUCAUGCUACAGUUGUUGUUCAUGCUAACCAGACGGUGGUGCGCAGCGUGUCGGCGGGCGAGACGCUCGUCAACGGCGCGGCCGUGAGCGUGGCGGCGCUGCGGCACGGCGACGAGCUCGGCGUGGGCGGCCGCGCGCUGCGCUGGGAGUACGCGCAGCCCGCGCGCCCGCGCCCGCUCGCGCCGCAGCCGGCGCUGGUGCGUCGCGCGACGCGAGCGCGCGGGCGGCGGCGCGGCAGCGAGCCGGCGACGCGCGCCGUGCUGGUGGCGCCGCAGCGCGCCUCCAUGCCGGCAUCUUCCGGUGGAAAACAAGUGGCGAUUGUGCAACCGCAACGGAGAGAUACGAACGAGCAAGCCGAAUCUUCUCGAUCGAAUACGAAGAUGAGUCACAAGCGUCCACGUUCGAGCAGAAAUGACGAGCAGGACUCUAUUUCUGUGGACACCGACGGCUCCAAGAGAAAGUCGACCCCGCGCAGCAGCCCGAAGAGCCCGAACCUGCACGACACCACGAAGGCCACGCUGUGGAUCGAGUCGCGCAAGACGCCGCGCGCGCCCGCCCUGCGCCUCGUGGCCAUGCGGGGGGCGCACCGCGCGCGCACCGCGCCCGUCGCCAAGAUACGCGCGCCCGCGGAGAUAGAUCACACAAAGCAAGCGGCUAUCAUGCUUAUGACGGGUCACACGCCGAAAUCUAAGCAAAGUCCGAAAAACAAUCAGCCCUCGUACGUGAUCAAAAAGCCGAGCCCAGUGAGACGAACACCGAAGCAGAGGAAGUCGAGUCCGACGAAGAAAACUCCGCAAGGAAAGAAGUCGAGUGGUUUAGAAGUUACUCCGAAGCGUAUGAGCAGCUUUUCUGCCUCCCGAUCCAACGCUAAGGCAGCUGCGGACCUUACUGCAUCGAUAUUAGAAAUUACUGAUUCUGAUUCUCAAACAAUACGAACUAGUAGCACGUCUGUACGGUCCCUGCGUAGAAGCACCUUGCGGUCACCAGUUUUGCCGACUCCAAAAAAAUCUGCACUCAAGGACCCUUCCGCCAAAAAAAAUACACGAAAAACAGAAUCAAUCAAGUUCGAUUUGAGUAAUCUGGAAAGUAACACACAAGACCGUUCAUCGGACAUAUUAUUUAUUACCGAAACGACUAAAGAAAAUGCAUAUAACAGUGACUCAGCCGAUGGCCUGUCGCUGCACUAUUCGGACACUUCGCCCACUCAAUCGCCUUCGCCGAGAAAAUCUAUUCAUUCUAGGAGUAGUCGAAUGUUAGAAAAAUCUUUGGGAAGUACAUUUACGUACAAUACACCUACACCGGAGUCCAGGAACAUAACUAUAGAGUCACCUCGAAGUCAAAAAUCUUUGAGGGGUAGUUUAAUUGUUCAGAAAGCAUUACAAAGCUCUAAUUUAGAAUCUUCUAGAUAUUCCCGAAGGACGACAAGAACUGUUUCGGAUCACAGUUACAGUACAACGCUCACAUCAGCCCGUAAAACUAAAAGUUUAAGUCCGCGGUCCUCUAACCAAAAUAUUGAGUCUUAUUCGAUCGUUGAUUUAGUAUCGAUUGGUUCGAACGAAUCUGGCAGGAGUGUGUACGAUUCCGCUGGCUCCAACGAUAGCACAGCAACGUUUGAUACUCCUCAAAUUGUUGCCGGUAGGGCGACUAGAUCGAACAAUCCUUCGUUACUGGGUUCUAGUACUCCAUACUUAAAUAGAACGUCAUCCCCAAAACCUAGUCCCGAACAAAACCGCAGUACCAGAUCGCGAGAGUCCAGUGUGACCACAAGGCGAUCUGCUUCCACCACUACACCAGAAAACACGCAGAAACAGACCCCCUACAAUAGUACAAGGAUUUCUAAAGCGUCUCGAAGUCGAUCCAGAAUAAAUGAUAGCGAUAUCCUACUUGUAGAUGAAAAUGAAGAUUCAUCACCAAAAUCAUCAAGGCGUACGAGUAAAACGAGCAUUGCUAGCCCGAUACUAAGGAAAAAUAUCUCCAGUACGGACACACCCUCUGCAAGUCCGUCGAAUGGUACAUUAACACCAACAAAUCGACAUAGUCCCGAAGAAGCCACUACGCCUGUACUUAGCAUUCAAAGUCUUUUAGACCAAAGCGCAUUGAGCCAAAGCUCCGUAACGUCUCAACCAUCUGAAACUAGAACACGAGUAGCGAAUUUGAAGAGAAAAACUGUAGGUUCUAUCAUUUCUCAGCCUAAAAAAAAUAGAAUGAGCAUUAAAUCAAGGUCACUAAAUUUUAGUAGUAAAAGAUCUUUACGAGCACGGAAGUCGUCUUCCGAUCCGAUAAAGUCACAUAAUAAAACAUCGCAAGAAGACCAGAACAUUGAAACUCCCAAAAGUUCUGUUAAAUUAGUGCAAGAAGCAGUUAAAAAUAAGCAUUCGACUGCAAAGAAGCCUACAUCAAAGCGCUCGAUAAUUGAUAAUCUUAAUGAAUCUGAUUUUGUAAAACAAUUAUUCAAUAGUCCAGUUAAAAGAAAAUUAUCCCAAAGUAUGAUAGAGUUUUCCAGAAAACAACUUAUCGAGGACGACGAUUCCCUUCCCUUAAGACCGACAAGAAAAACCACAGCGUUGACAGGAAGGUCACCUGAUAACUCCUUAUUAAAUCAAUCUGAAGCAUUCCCACCGGAAGUGUUUGUCAGCCCCUUAAGCACUCCCAGCAACAGUCCUAAUUUAUCUGGAAUGAAACGUCUGUUUGCUAAGAAUACUCCAGAAAAUGAUUUACGAAACGUAAGAGGAGUGAAAUCCUUGCUAAGAACUCCCCGUAAUAGGAAACCUAUCAGAAACGACCUAACCGAAGUAUCGGGAGUGAAAAAAGUAUUUGCUAGGUCGCCGAGAAACCGUUUGAGUGAUGUGAGAGUUAAAGAAGUAUUCGCUGUGUCACCUCAGAAUGAUUUACGACGGGUCUCAGGAGUGAAGUCUCUAUUUGAAUCGACAAGGAAAGCGAGAACACCAAAAAAUGCUUUGGAUGAUUUGACGGGCGUAAAGAAUUUAUAUCGAAAAUCGCCGUUAAACGACUUGCAAAACGUAUCCGGUGCGAAGAAAAUGUUACGACUAAAUUCACCAAGAAACGACCUGAGCGACGUGAGAGGUGUCAAACAACUAUAUAGACAUAAGGAGAUUCGGAACGAUUUGAGCGAUCUCAGUGGCGUUGAAGAACUAUUCCAUGAAUCGCACAACCUGGACAGCACUUUCGAUCAGUUGAUAGGAAAACCUCGCGUUAGAUCUUACACGAAAUCUAAAAGCUUAACGAACGUCGAUAAACACAACAAGCAAACGCGAGAGACAAAAUCUCUACACGAUUCUAUCGGCCUCAUAACGAACAACGUCGAGCAAUGGCUAGACAACGAACUGAAAAAACGAGUCCACAGGCCUAACGAGUCUUUGACUCCGAAAAAGUCUAUUAACAAAACGAAUCUCACGCGAGAACUGCAAAAGCUCUCGACUAACACAAUAGAGGGAAGCCUACCCAUACGAACAUCUAGGGUUCGCAGCGGUACUCUGACGAGAAGUAUCGAGUCGGAGCUCCCAUCGGAGCGCAAGAAAUCUGCAUCGGAAUUGUACAGCCCGCACACACUGCCCAUCAAAAAGCGGUCACUCGUGGGGCCCGCCGACGGGAGCGCCGACGGGCGCGCCGACGGGCGCCGGAGCGUCCUGCCGCUAAAGAAGCGCUCGGUGCUGCACUCCACGCCCGUCAAGGGCCGCGCGCCCGCCGCGCUCGAGCUCGGCCGCGUGUCGCCCAUCGCGCGCGCCGACGGCUCGCUGGGUAAAACACCCGAAGCAAAAGAAAAGCCGAAAGCAAAGACAUCAAAAGGAAGAACGACUAAAUUGCCAGAAAUUGAAAUACCGGAAGACGUGCCAAAACCGUCACCGAGGAGAACCCGUGGGAAGACAUCUGUGCGAAAUACUCCCCAACGAGUCAGAGCUACAAGAGGAAAGAAGAUAGUUCCCCUAGUAACUAACGCGAAAAAAAGAAGGUCUUCAAUAGUUAUUACUAAGAAACCACCAGUGAUGAGCCCUAAGACUAUUCCUAAAAACACUAAAAACAAAACAGCAAUAGUAAAGGAAAACAAAUCUAAUACAAGUCCAAAGAAAACUAGACAAACGAGACAAAAAUCUCAAGUAGAAGAAAAAGUUAAAACUCCAAAAAAGACAAGAACUAAAACUAACGUAAAAGGUAUUUCGGUUACUAUUCCAUCUCCACAACCGAAGGCCAGAUCUAAGAGACAAAUUAAAAAAAAUCACGAACCGGUCGUUAAUGACAAUGAUAUCGAGGAAGCUAAACGGGGAAGGAAAGCCGCUGGGAAAAAAAGUAUUACCAAAAAGUUAGAAGACUCAAAACCAGAACAAGGGAAACGUGUAAGAAAAACUGGCACCGAAAAUAUAUCCAAACCCAGAACACGAAAUGGUGAAAUCGACCCAAUAGAAGCGCAAACAUCACCUAAAAAAAGUCGGAAAAAUAACCAAGAAAUAAAUCAAGCUGAUAAGUCCCAAAAACGAUCGAAAGCCACGCGAGAGAAAGUUGAGAAACAAAUAAGUGUCGAAUCAGAUCCAAUCCGACCCACAAGAGGACGCAAAACGAAAGAUACGACCAUUCCAGAAUCUGGUAAAAGACAGCGAAAAAUAACAAUAGUAGAGGACCCUAAAGCUGUCAAAGCCAAUAGUGUAGAAGUUGUGCUGAGAAAAGGCAGACGUGGUACUAGAGCGGUAGGAAAUGUUGAGCCGCCUAAUGACAACGUUAAUAAACAGAGUGAAGUUAAAACUGUGAUUAAAAAGGGAAGAAGAACAAAAAAUAGUGCAGUUGAGAGAGAAAUUGAAGCUCCGCCAGUGGAAGUCGGAAGAAAAACUAAGAAAGAUACGUCUAAAGAAGAAAGUAAAUCUGUUAAAAUGGUGACACUAGUAGUGGAAGAAGUAUCUAAGACUACGGGACGAAAGCGGAAGACGAAGAUAGAAGAUUCACUCGUCGAAGAGCCGACCGACAAGCGACGACGAGGUCCGCGUACCGUUGCCAGGGAGCCAGUCGUUCAAAGGACCUCCAGCCGGUCUCGAAGAAGAUAACAGUGUCUGUGCGUUAGAUACUCUUCAAGUACAAAUUUGAUUGUUAAGGUGAGGUAGAUAGAUGAUACUUCGUAUAUGAGAAGGUUUUGCAUUUACAGUGUAAUAUAAUUUUUAAUGUAGAUUUACAAUACGCUUUGAGAGGAGUUUUACUUUUACUAAAAAUAUAUAUAAAAUUAUUUGUAUUUAAAAUGGGGUGCUCUUCAGAGAUGCCAAAAUAUAGAUUAGAUUUGACUUUGUUCACAUACUACGUUUCAAGCUAUAUGUACAAAAUGUAAACUAAAAGCCGCUGCCACAUCUUUGCGAGCGCUGUUACAAAAUCAAGUGACGGAAGAUUCCGUAAUUAUUUCCAAUAUUUUUAUUUUACAUUUUUGCGUUGAGGAUUUUUUAAAACAAAUCUUGACACGUCCUCCAUAUAUUGCACACCUCAGCGCUGGUGUUAUAUGAUCGGUAUAUAAUAAAAAUCACUGAUAAACGUUUUUUUGUUUACAUUUGGUAUAAAUGACAGCAAACUCAACUUUUAGAUUGUUAACAUUUACUUCAAAUUUCUAUGUAAUGGUUAUUAUUCUGGCACUUGUUAACUAAUAAGGUUCUAUUUUUAAUUUAAUAUUUUAACUUUGGUAUAUAAGAAAUUAAGUUAGUUUGAUUUUAAUAAAAUAAUUGUCUAUUAUAUUUUUAUUGUUAAUUAAUUGAGAUGCAGGAACAAGUAUGAGAGCUCGAACAGUAGAUCUUCAAUUACCUAGUGAUUGUGGCGGACUGCACUUGAUAAUAUAUUGAUGAGCUAAUUUG